GAAGUCAGCCAUCUGCAGCCCAAAAGAGGGCCCUCACCAGAACCCAACCACGCUGGCACACCAAUCUUGAACAUCCAGCCUCCAGAACUAUUCCUUCUUGGUGGAAUGGAAAUAACAACCAUCUCACUCAUAAAGCUACUAUGAGAGCCACUUGGGAUAACAUCAGAGCAAGCCUUUGGAAGCUGGGGAGAGUUGUAUAAAAGCAAGAUCUACGUCCCCUGAAAAGAGCCUCGCAUGCUUUAUUCAAUACUGCCAAAUGUGCGGAUUCAGCAAGGCAUUGGAAAUGGCAGGCAUGAAACAUGACCUAGACGAUGUCCAUUUAGAUACAGAUGAUUGAAGGGUUACCAUAGUGUGGUGACCGUAACUGCUGUUCACCAAACAGUUCCUGUCUCUGACUUCUGAGCACAUGGAAGUCCUCUGGCCUCCUGCACUGGGUAAGGCCCAGCAAACAGCUCUGGGCAUUGGAUUGUGAGCAGGAGUGUUAUAUCUGGCUUCUGGACAGGGCAUUUAACAAUGCCACGCAAGACUCUCUAGAGCACUCACUGCUCUGCCGAGGUGACAGGCAAUGUUCCAGACUGGGGUCCAGAGAGAGGAUGAAGACAGCAUAGAGCAGCACCCCACUCCUGCCAACCAGCAAUGGAUACGCAACAUAAGCAAGAAACAAACCUUUGUUGACCAAAAAUGAAAUCCAAUUAGAGAAAACAAAUAGGCUUUCUGUUCCUUGGAGAAAAUGAACUGGACAAAUUGCACACAAAAAAACCUAGUAUCUCCACCACCAACUGUUGAAAACAGUGGGGCCUCCGUUAACAGUUUCUUUGCCCACAGAAUGCUCUCUGAGGAACUGCGGGUGUGGAAGGAGUGCAGAAGCCUAUUCUCCACCUACUGGCGCGUCAAAGUUUUCAUCAGAACCUGCUUUUCUUUGCGAAACUAAGCAACUGCUCUUUCACACCCACAUAUUGCUGGAGCACAUUCAAUUACCCUCAACGACUGUUUAAAACGAAAAUGCUUUGCCUCCUGAGGACAAUGUGAGAGGAUUAAUGAAUGUUGUUCUUGAAGGACAGAAGUGUAAGGAUACAGCAGAACCUAAGCAGCUGGAAACUACUGCUGGGCCAUAUUUUACAAGCAAUUCAAACCCACCUUCAAGUAUUUUGUAAAGAAUAAUAAUGUUUAAGGCAGUUGGAUAUAUCAAGGGGCAUACUAUGCCAUUUUUCCUCCUUCUUCUUGAUGACAAUCAUGGAAUUAGAAAACUAAGAGGAUAACAAGAAGUGAUGAAGAAAGACUAACUUUUGCCAUAUGGUUUUUCAGGAGAAGAGGAAACAGCACUUUUUUUCCUCUGACACAUUGUUCCAAAGGAUCUGUAACUAACAAACCAAGCCAGCACAUUGCUGGGUUCUGUAGGCCGGUGACUCAGAAGUCACUUUUCUACCCAAUAUAUUAAAUGUCAAUCAAAAUACAUCCUAUAGGGCUUCCCUGGUGGCGCAGUGGUUGAGAGUCUGCCUGCCAAUGCAGGGGACACAGGUUCGUGCCCCGGUCCGGGAAGAUCCCACAUGCCGCAGAGCGGCUGGGCCUGUGAGCCAU